rnacentral:rRNA from 1 species
AUACGGAGGGCGCAAGCGUUGUUCGGAAUCAUUGGGCGUAAAGCGCGUGUAGGCGGCUUGGUAAGUCGGGUGUGAAAGCCCGGGGCUCAACCCCGGAAAUGCAUUCGAAACUGCCUCGCUAGAGUCCCGGAGAGGAGGGCGGAAUUCCCGGUGUAGAGGUGAAAUUCGUAGAUAUCGGGAGGAACACCAGUGGCGAAGGCGGCCCUCUGGACGGCGACUGACGCUGAGACGCGAAAGCGUGGGGAGCAAACAGGAUUAGAUACCCCAGUAGUCC